rnacentral:rRNA from 1 species
UCGGGAAUUUUGGGCAAUGGGCGAAAGCCUGACCCAGCAACGCCGCGUGAAGGAUGAAGUCCUUCGGGAUGUAAACUUCGUAAGAAUGGGAAGAAUCAAUGACGGUACCAUUUGUAAGGUCCGGCUAACUACGUGCCAGCAGCCGCGGUAAUACGUAGGGACCAAGCGUUGUUCGGAUUUACUGGGCGUAAAGGGAGCGUAGGCGGCGCAUCAAGUCAGCUGUGAAAUCUUAAGGCUUAACCUUAAGCGGUCAGCUGAUACUGUUGUGCUAGAGUGCAGAAGGGGCAAUCGGAAUUCUUGGUGUAGCGGUGAAAUGCGUAGAUAUCAAGAGGAACACCUGAGGCGAAGGCGGGUUGCUGGGCUGACACUGACGCUGAGGCUCGAAAGCCAGGGGAGCAAAC